GGUCUAUUGUACCCUGUUGCUUCGGCGGGCCCGCCGCUUGUCGGCCGCCGGGGGGGCGCCUCUGCCCCCCGGGCCCGUGCCCGCCGGAGACCCCAACACGAACACUGUCUGAAAGCGUGCAGUCUGAGUUGAUUGAAUGCAAUCAGUUAAAACUUUCAACAAUGGAUCUCUUGGUUCCGGCAUCGAUGAAGAACGCAGCGAAAUGCGAUAACUAAUGUGAAUUGCAGAAUUCAGUGAAUCAUCGAGUCUUUGAACGCACAUUGCGCCCCCUGGUAUUCCGGGGGGCAUGCCUGUCCGAGCGUCAUUGCUGCCCUCAAGCCCGGCUUGUGUGUUGGGUCGCCGUCCCCCUCUCCGGGGGGACGGGCCCGAAAGGCAGCGGCGGCACCGCGUCCGAUCCUCGAGCGUAUGGGGCUUUGUCACAUGCUCUGUAGGAUUGGCCGGCGCCUGCCGACGUUUUCCAACCAUUCUUUCCAGGUUGACCUCGGAUCAGGUAGGGAUACCCGCUGAACUUAAGCAUAUCAAUAAG
rnacentral:rRNA from 1 species